rnacentral:rRNA from 1 species
AUAGAAACCAACCUGUCCUGUUUAGCAAAAACAUGUCUGUAUGAGAGUUGAUAUAAAGUCUGACCUGCCCAUUGGGGGACUAAAAGGCCGCGGUAUUUUGACCGUGCGAAGGUAGCAUAAUCAUUAGUCUUUUAAUUGGAGGCUGGAAUGAAUGGUUGGACGAGAAGGAAGCUGUCUCUAUCUCGGAGAUUGAAUUUAACUUUUAAGUGAAAAGGCUUAAAUAAGUUAGAGGGACGAUAAGACCCUAUAAAGUUUAUACAUGAAGUUGGUUAAGAGUGAUUUAAGGUGUUAAAGUUUAUUAUCAGCAGGGUGUUUAGUUGGGGCGACUAGGAUAUAAAUUAUAUAACUGUUUUUUGUUUAAAUCAGAGAUAUUUGUUCAUAUGAUCCCUUUUUAGGAUUAGAGAAUAAAUUACUUUAGGGAUAACAGCGUAAUUUUUUUUAAGAGUUCUUAUCGACAAGAGAGUUUGCGACCUCGAUGUUGAAUUAAAAAUUUCUCUGUGGUGUAGCGGUUACAGGAGAAGGUCUGUUCGACCUUUAAAUUUUUACAUGAUUUGAGUUCAGACCGGCGAAAGCCAGGUUGGUUUCUAUCUAAA